rnacentral:rRNA from 1 species
CCUACGGGAGGCAGCAGUGGGGAAUAUUGCACAAUGGGGGAAACCCUGAUGCAGCGACGCCGCGUGAGUGAAGAAGUAUUUCGGUAUGUAAAGCUCUAUCAGCAGGGAAGAAAUAAAGUCCUUCGGACUUUGGACGGUACCUGACUAAGAAGCCCCGGCUAACUACGUGCCAGCAGCCGCGGUAAUACGUAGGGGGCAAGCGUUAUCCGGAUUUACUGGGUGUAAAGGGAGCGUAGACGGCAGCGCAAGUCUGGAGUGAAAUCCCAUGGCUUAACCAUGGAACUGCUUUGGAAACUGUGCAGCUGGAGUGCAGGAGAGGUAAGCGGAAUUCCUAGUGUAGCGGUGAAAUGCGUAGAUAUUAGGAGGAACACCAGUGGCGAAGGCGGCCUGCUGGACCGCGACUGACGUUGAGGCUCGAAAGCGUGGGGAGCGAACAGGAUUAGAUACCCGAGUAGUC